GCCGGGCGUGGUGGCAGGCGCCUGUAAUCCCAGCUACUCGGGAGGCUGAGGCAGGAGAAUCGCUUGAACCCGGGAGGCGGAGGUUGCAGUGAGCCGAGAUCGUGCCAUUGCACUACAGCCUGGGAGAAAAGAGUGAAACUCCAUCUCAAAAGAGGAGAGAAAGGUUUUUGUGUUUGUUUUGAGACGGAGUUUUGCUCUGUUGCCCAGGCUGGAGUGCAGUGGCACGAUCUCGGCUCGCUGCAACCUCCGCCUCCCGGGUUCAAGCGAUUCUUCUGC
rnacentral:SRP_RNA from 10 species